UAGAUAAUCCGAAAAUUGAAAGCAUUUUGAAAAAUUGUUUUCAAUGGUUUUCAAAAUGCUUUCAAUUUUCGGAGUAUCUA